AUUAGACUACCCCGUAGUCCAGCCGUAAACAAUGUGCGUUAGGUGUGUCGGUAACCACGCGUUACUGAUGCGCCGAAGAGAAAUCGUGAAACGCACCACCUGGGAAGUACGGUCGCAAGGCUGAAACUUAAAGGAAUUGGCGGGGAGCACCACAACAGGUGGAGCCUGCGGUUUAAUUGGAUUCAACGCCGGACAUCUCACCGGAUAAGACAGCUGAAUGAUUGUCAAUCUGAAGGUUUUACAUGACUAGCUG
rnacentral:rRNA from 1 species